rnacentral:snRNA from 1 species
GGAUGUGAGGGUGAUCUGGUUGCGACAUCUGUCACCUCAUUGAUCGCCAGGGUUGAUUCAGCUGAUCUGGCUGGCUAGGUGGGUGUCCCCUUCCUCCCUCACCGCUCCAUGUACAUCCUUCCUGAAGCUGCACACUCGGUCGAAGAGGACGGCCUUCCCCGAAUAGAGAUGGACCCGUCUUUGGUCGAGGGUAUAAGAGUAGCUGCGCUACCCUGCUAGAACCUCCAAACACGCUCUCCAGAUCUCCACUCUGCACUCUUCAUUUUCAGUAUUUAACUAGAACAUCUAGGAAUUUCAAGAGCUUUUAAAGAAUUCUGCUUCUAAACUGUGAUUUGCAGCCACUC